rnacentral:rRNA from 1 species
CGCCAGCAGCCGCGGUAAUACGUAGGGUGCGAGCGUUGUCCGGAAUUAUUGGGCGUAAAGAGCUUGUAGGCGGUUUGUCGCGUCUGCUGUGAAAAUCCGGGGCUCAACCCCGGACUUGCAGUGGGUACGGGCAGACUAGAGUGUGGUAGGGGAGACUGGAAUUCCUGGUGUAGCGGUGGAAUGCGCAGAUAUCAGGAGGAACACCGAUGGCGAAGGCAGGUCUCUGGGCCACUACUGACGCUGAGAAGCGAAAGCAUGGGGAGCGAACAGGAUUAGAUACCCUGGUAGUCCAUGCCGUAAACGUUGGGCGCUAGGUGUGGGGCUCAUUCCACGAGUUCCGUGCCGCAGCUAACGCAUUAAGCGCCCCGCCUGGGGAGUACGGCCGCAAGGCUAAAACUCAAAGGAAUUGACGGGGGCCCGCACA